GGAAGGGAGGGGCAGGGAGGGGGGGGAAGACGGAGGGGGCGAGAGGUAUAAGGAAUUACGUGGCGUAAAGGGGGGUUAGGGGGGGUGUUAAGGCAGAUGUGAAAGCAUGUCGCGUAGCGAUAGAACUGGCAAAGAUACUGUAAGUCUUAAGUAUAAUAGAGGUAGCAGGAAUAAGUAGUGUAGCGGGGAAAUGCAUAGAUAUGACUUAGAACACCAAUUGAGAAGGCAGGUUACCAAGUUAUAACUGACGCUGAGGGACGAAAGCGUGGGGAGCGAACAGGAUUAGAUACCCCUGUAGUC
rnacentral:rRNA from 1 species